UACGAAGGGGGCUAGCGUUGCUCGGAAUUACUGGGCGUAAAGCGCACGUAGGCGGCUUUCUAAGUCGGGGGUGAAAUCCUGGAGCUCAACUCCAGAACUGCCUUCGAUACUGGAGAGCUUGAGUCCGGGAGAGGUGAGUGGAACUGCGAGUGUAGAGGUGAAAUCGUAGAUAUUCGCAAGAACACCAGUGGCGAAGGCGGCUCACUGGCCCGGUACUGACGCUGAGGA
rnacentral:rRNA from 1 species